CGGUUCCCGCUUGGCUUCUCUCCAAGGUCUAUGGCCUGAAAAGCCACCGUUGCUAUCUCAACCACAGGACAC
rnacentral:tRNA from 1 species